rnacentral:rRNA from 1 species
UAUUGCUCUUAAACGAGGAAUCCCUAGUAAGCGUGAGUCAUCAGCUCACGUUGAUUACGUCCCUGCCCUUUGUACACACCGCCCGUCGCUACUACCGAUUGAAUGGCUUAGUGAGACCCUCGGAUCGACUCGUAGAAACCUUCACGGGUAUCUAUUUGUUGAAAAGUUGGUCAAACUUGGUCAUUUAGAGGAAGUAAAAGUCGUAACAAGGUUUCCGUAGGUGAACCUGCGGAAGGAUCAUUAAAAAAAUUGAGGUAUUAAUACCUCUUUUGUAUUUAAAAACCUUACUCUAUUAAAACUUAAAAAUUUUUAUAUAAAAUAAAUUAAAAACUUUCAACAAUGGAUCUCUUGGUUCUCGCAUCGAUGAAGAACGCAGCGAAAUGCGAUAAGUAAUGUGAAUUGCAGAAUUCCGUGAAUCAUCAAAUUUUUGAACGCAAAUUGCACUCCUUGGUAUUCCGAGGAGUACACAUGCUUGAGGGUCAGUUAAAAAUAAAUCGUAUAUCUUUGAUGUUACGGAUCUGGGUUAUCCGAUUCUUAAAGUCGGUUACCUAAAAUUAAAUUUUAUGUAAUGUGUGAAGCGUACUAAUUAAGUUCGUUAACUACUUACUACACAUUUUAUUACGCUAUCUUUAAAGUAUUUAGUGAUAGUGUAUAAAAUUUAAGAGAAUGACCUCAAGUCAUGUGAGAGUACCCGCUGAACUUAAGCAUAUCAAUAAGCGGAGGAAAAGAAACUAACAAGGAUUCCCCUAGUAACGGCGAGUGAAGCGGGAAGAGCACAAAUUUUAAAUCUACCUGGUUUUCAGGUCGAAUUGUAAUUUGAAGAAACGUUUUUUACGUUCCGGGUUGGAUUAAGUCCUUUGGGAUAAGGUAUCAUGGAGGGUGAGAAUCCCGUGUAUACCAACCACUGGAAUGUUAUUAAUACGAUUUCUAAGAGUCGAGUUGUUUGGGAAUGCAGCUCUAAAUGGGUGGUAAAUUUCACCUAAUGCUAAAUAUAAGCGAGAGACCGAUAGUGAACAAGUACCGUGAGGGAAAGAUGAAAAGAACUUUGAAAAGAGAGUUAAAUAGUACGUAAAAUUGUUGAAAGGGAAACGGUUGAAGUCAGUCAUACCGGUGGGAAUCAACUUAGGGGAAACUCUAAGUGCACUUCUUCGUUUGGUAGGUUAGCGUCGAUUUUGGAUGUCAUAAAAUGACUGGGGGAAGGUAGCUCCUUUAGGAGUGUUAAGCCCUUAGUAGAUGUGAUGUCUGAGAUCGAGGAUUGCAACGGAUACCCUUUAGGUCUAACCGCCUGGUCUCUAAUACGAACUUAGGUUAUGGACAGCAUGCUGACUGUGAUCUAAUCUUCGGUUAAAAGAUUAGAGUGAGUGUAAAUUCGUUAAGGACGCUGACGUAAUGGCUUUAAACGACCCGUCUUGAAACACGGACCAAGGAGUCUAACAUGUAUGCGAGUGUU